rnacentral:misc_RNA from 1 species
GAAAUGCGAUAAGUAGUGUGAAUUGCAGAAUUCAGUGAAUCAUCGAAUCUUUGAACGCACAUUGCGCCCCUUGGUAUUCCAUGGGGCAUGCCUGUUCGAGCGUCAUUUACACCCUCAAGCUUUGCUUGGUGUUGGGCGUCUGUCUCUAGAGACUCGCCCCAAAGGCAUUGGCAGCGGUCCUGCCGGGCCCUAAUCGCGCAGCACUGUUCGCGCCACUUGGGACCUGUGCGGAUUCGGCGUCCAUGAAGCCCACUUUUUCUUGAACUUGACCUCGAAUCAGGUAGGGAUACCCGCUGAACUUAAGC